GUUUUCUCUAAGUUCCAAUAUCUGUAGUUUAGUUAAUCUGUAACAGAAAGGCAUAACAAGUUAUCACAAUAUACUGUAUUUUAUGGCAAAAGCAAUCUCAGAACUUAUUUAUAUUGCUAAAUUUACAUUUCAAAAGAGAUCUUCAAGUUU